rnacentral:rRNA from 1 species
GACGAACGCUGGCGGCGUGCUUAACACAUGCAAGUCGAACGGAAAGGCCCUGCUUUUGUGGGGUGCUCGAGUGGCGAACGGGUGAGUAACACGUGAGUAACCUGCCCUUGACUUUGGGAUAACUUCAGGAAACUGGGGCUAAUACCGGAUAGGAGCUCCUGCUGCAUGGUGGGGGUUGGAAAGUUUCGGCGGUUGGGGAUGGACUCGCGGCUUAUCAGCUUGUUGGUGGGGUAGUGGCUUACCAAGGCUUUGACGGGUAGCCGGCCUGAGAGGGUGACCGGCCACAUUGGGACUGAGAUACGGCCCAGACUCCUACGGAAGGCAGCAGUGGGGAGUAUUGCACAAUGGGCGGAAGCCUGAUGCAGCAACGCCGCGUGCGGGAUGACGGCCUUCGGGUUGUAAACCGCUUUCGCCUGUGACGAGGCGUGAGUGACGGUAAUGGGUAAAGAAGCACCGGCUAACUACGUG